rnacentral:rRNA from 1 species
UCGCUGUCUCAAAGAUUAAGCCAUGCACGUCUAAGUACUCGCCUUGUCUAUAAAGUGAAACCGCGAAUGGCUCAUUAAAUCAGUUAUGGUUCACUAGACAGUACCUCAUCCUACUCGGAUAACUGUGGUAAUUCUAGAGCUAAUACAUGCAACUAGGCCCCGCCCGGCGUGCCGUCUCGCACGGUACGACGGAAAGGGCGCCAUUAUCAGCCCAAAACCGACCGGGUCGCCUCCCCCUCUCCUUUACGGUAAGGGGCGGCUCCCGUCCUUAUUCCCUUUGACGACUCUGGAUAACCUGUCAGCGGAUCGCUGGGUAAACGGGUGCCCGGGGGCCUUCAUCGGUCUCCGGGCCGCCCACAGCGACCAGUCUUUCAAAUGUCUGCCUUAUCAACUGUCGACGGUAGGUUAGACGCCUACCGUGGUCGUAACGGGUGACGGGGAAUCAGGGUUCGAUUCCGGAGAGGGAGCCUGAGAAACGGCUACCACAUCCAAGGAAGGCAGCAGGCACGCAAAUUACCCAAUCCCAGCACUGGGAGGUAGUGACGAAAAAUAACGAUACGGGACUCUUAACGAGGCCUCGUAAUCGGAAUGAGUCCGCUCUAAAUCCUUUAACGAGGAUCUAUCGGAGGGCAAGUCUGGUGCCAGCAGCCGCGGUAAUUCCAGCUCCGAUAGCGUAUAUUAAAGUUGCUGCGGUUAAAAAGCUCGUAGUUGGAUUUGGGUUUUCGGGCCGGCGGGCCGCCGCCUUCGAGCGGCGCGUUUCCCGCCGCGCCCCCGGAACCGCACGGUCGCAGAGGCCCCCGCGGUGCUCUUGAAUGAGUGUCCGCGGUCUCGGGUCGCCGAACGUUUACUUUGAAAAAAUUAGAGUGCUCCAGGCAGGCCGGUAAAGCGUUUUUAAACCCGCGCCUGAAUAGUCACGCAUGGAAUAAUGAAAGAGGACCGGCGGUCCUAUUUUGUUGGUUUUAAGGAUUUUCCGCCGUCAUGAUUAAGAGGGACGGCCGGGGGCAUUCGUACCGCGGCGCGAGAGGUGAAAUUCUAGGACCGUCGCGAGACGAACCGUUGCGAAAGCAUUUGCCAAGAAUGUUUUCCUUAAUCAAGAACGAAAGUCAGAGGUUCGAAGGCGAUCAGAUACCGCCCUAGUUCUGACCGUAAACGAUGCCACCUGACGAUCCGCCAGGGUUACUACCAUGACUCGGCGGGCAGUCCCCGGGAAACCCAAGCCUUCGGGUUCCGGGGGAAGUAUGGUUGCAAAGCUGAAACUUAAAGGAAUUGACGGAAGGGCACCACCAGGAGUGGAGCCUGCGGCUUAAUUUGACUCAACACGGGGAACCUCACCCGGCCCGGACACCGCGAGGAUUGACAGAUUGAGAGCUCUUUCUCGAUUCGGUGGGUGGUGGUGCAUGGCCGUUCUUAGUUGGUGGAGCGAUUUGUCUGGUUAAUUCCGAUAACGAACGAGACUCUAGCCGGUUAAGUAGCCCGAGCGGUUUUUGAUCUUUGCCGUCCAUCCUCGUCCCGACCUUCCGCGCUUCUUUUUUGCGCCGUCCUUUCCGUGCGGCCGUCGUCCCGUACGCUCUCCGCCUCGGCGGGGGGCCUCGGGCGCCGACGGUUUGCCGGAGGGGCGCUGCGGGAGGAGUACGUGGGUCGAUUUCGGGGUGGAAGCAUAACCGAAGGCCGCCGGCUUUUAAGGAAGCUUCUUAGAGGGACGAGCGGCGUUCAGCCGCCCGAGAUUGAGCGAUAACAGGUCUGUGAUGCCCUUAGAUGUCCGGGGCCGCACGCGCGCUACACUGAAGGGUUCAGCGUGCUAGUUUCUCCCGGGCCGUCAGGCUCGGGGAACCCGUUGAAACCCUUUCGUGCUAGGGACAGGGACUUGCAAUUGUGUCCCUCCAACGAGGAAUUCCCAGUAAGCGCGAGUCAUCAGCUCGCGUUGAUUACGUCCCUGCCCUUUGUACACACCGCCCGUCGCUACUACCGAUUGAACGAUUUAGUGAGGUCUUCGGACCGGUGGUCGUUCCGCGAUCGGGUCAGGGAAGGGUCUUGUGCCUUUUCCUCCCGCGCGGGGUCGGCCGGCCGGGAAGAUGCCCGAACUUGAUCGUUUAGAGGAAGA